AAUCGUUCCAGCCUUUGGCCGGUUUUCUCGAGUGGAAAUACAUGCGAAGACAUAUUUUCGUGAAGCGUGUUAACAUUUGAAACAAUGACCUGGCAUCCCUGCUGAUGCAAACGAACACAGAUGACACUUUCGAUUUGACGAUCAUAAAUCUGAAAAAUAUUGGUAAAAAAUAUUUGAGAAUUUGCUACCGGUCAUCGAAAUUUUGGUCGAAAUUCGAAUCACAUUACCGAACAUAAAUGAAAUGCGGAAGAUGACGUGUUGCAAAAUAAUCGCAAACCGCUGAAAAAAUUUUCCAUCAAACAGCAGAAACCGGUUCAUGUUCUCGAAAAUGUAUUUUUACACAAAAAGUAAACCAACCAGUUCAUAAAGGUUCUGAAAAUUUACGAUUCCCCGGGAACAAUUUUCUGCGCGAUUCAGUUAUAGCAACCUGCCGCUGAAGGAAUUUUUUUGUACAAUUUUCUAAACGAAACCAACGCUAACGAUGAUGAAGACGGAUGGCUAUUCGGACGCUACUUGCUUACGAGAUGCAAGAUUGUGCCAAGAAAAAGAAACUUAUUACCCGAUCUAAAAUGUAGAAACUCGAAGGGGCCACAACCGUUGUUGGAAGUCGCGACACAAAAAAACAGCGCACCGGGAAGGUGUAGGGGAAAGUAGGUAAAGACGGACACUGCGGGUAAGAUGGACAUUUUUAAUAUUUCACAAACUAGAAUGUAUUAUGAUAGUUGAGUGAAGCGAAUACCUUCUUUAUAGUUUGUUAAUGCGUUUGAGUUGCAUUAUCGGUUUUCAGCAAGCAAACUGUCAAAUUUGUAAGUAAAACAAAGAAUAUUUUCGUGAACGCGCAAUUUGAUGUAAUUUUUAUUCCACGGAAAAUAGUGAAAAACUCGUGAAAUUUACGUGUUUUCAUUUGUUCACAAUAGUAAAGUGAUUAAUUAGUCUUUCCUCGGUUUUCUAGUGAAAAUCCAGCAGAUUUUCGAUGUUCCGAUGAAGAGCUUCGAUCGUUUGAAAAAUUUACUACCAGGUCGGGCAAGACGGACACACUAUGGUAGGGAAAGAUGGACACACGGAUUUUCUAAGAAUUUUCACAUGUAGCAUCUGUUGUGUACUACAGAUGUUCACAAAGUACACCCGCGAGAGAAACCAGCAGAUAUUAAUCACUUAGCAGUUAGAACAGGCCAAAUAGGCGGAGAAUUUUCGCCUCCAUCGAAACCCAUCCUCUCAAACUGUUCACGUGAUGUAUAGAUGAACUCUAAUAACGCAGCGUAAUGUAUAGCCAUCACUUAACACAUAAAUCAAAAGAAUGCUUAACGUACUUAACGUACUACAUCUUUUUUGUGAGUGUCCACCUUUACCUUCGUAGUGUCCAUCUUACCCACCCCAAGUGUCCAUCUUUUCCAACCAUGUCAAAAAACAGCAAUUUGUAGUCUUAUUUUUGAAGACCCAAAACACAUAAAACUUGGGGAAGUUCACUAAUACCAAAAAUGAUUAUGAAAACAAAUGACUUUAAGUUUCAAUUUGUAUGACUACUGCGAUCUAAAUAGCAAUACCUAAGUAAUUAUUUAGAUUAAACUUUAGAGUGUCCGUCUUUACCUACUUUCCCCUAUAAUUAUUAAACACGCAGUCGUUUUGUACACCCAAUAGUCGCACAAAACCUUACGAAUAAGCGCUGCUAGUAGAAUAAUUUCCAUUGCUACCAGUCAGUAGAUAUCAUCGGUCCAAUCGUGCUGUGGUUACCAGUUUGCUAGAUCAACUUGGUCAUGAUGGGACACCUGAUCCUUUUUGCUCAGUAGCCAGUUAUUCGUGUUGCAUCCGCACAUCGAAUGCCUUCGAGAAACAUAUACAAGCUGGUUGCAGCGCAUCGUGAAGCUGAACCGUGACGCUAUUUGCUUGUCAUCGGCAUACAGCUGCCAUUGUGGGUGAUAUUGUUCACCAAUCGGUGCCUUUAGAGUCGUGAUAUAAAAUAUCCUCUAAUUUCAAGCGUUUCCGAGAAGUACUCCUGUCCGAGCCCGACGCAGCCCACCCGGGGCUCUAAUAGUAUCGCACCGUAUUGGUCGGGUUGGAAUUCUUCCGAUCAAUAUUAGCACCAGUCGAGUCGAACCACUUGUGGGUGCGAUUCGUCAGACAGAAAAGGGCCCUUGGUGUUGUUUCUGAUAAGAUCAGACCAUUCGGGUUACAUCCCAGUGCUCGGUUGCGUUACAGUAGAACAAGGCAUCAGGGUUCACCAGGUCUAAGGUGCAUUCGCACUCGCCAGUUCGGGUGUGAAAAAAUUCUGGAGCCGCACAAUAACUGCCCUGUCAUGCAAUUCGCAUGACAAUUAUAGACUGGCGUCUUGUUUGCAAAAGAAAUUAUAAGGCCAACUUAACUAUAUGUUGGACUUGUGGGACAGCAAGAAAGAACUUGUUGGCUUAUCGGAUGAUAAUGUUCGUUCGUGGCUAGAGCCGGAAAUCGUCUUUAAAAGGGAACUUCAAACCUCCCCGUAGUUCAAGAGAUUUCACCAAGAAGACUAAUGAAUAAAAUGAAAUUCCAAAUCAUUUUGUCAAUAAAAUUAUGUUUGCAACCCGA